AUAUCGAUAUGCCAUGCUGAAAGGAGACGUGGAGCUACGUAGCAUCGUACAGAGUCCACCGGUUCCUCCUGAAAGGAGGUCAAGAAGAUGCCAGAAGAAAGUGGAGGAGGGAGUUAAUGAGGACGGCGUGUCUCGUGGCUGUUCUGUGUGUAUUGAUGAAGUGCAAAAUCGGCCUGCUUGUUCAACGUGAAAAGUCCUGGGAAAUGUGAGGGGAUCAAAGUAGACGUGCUGGAGAGUGACCAUCUGACAAGAAGAACAAGAUGAAACAGAUUCAGACUGAGAUCCAGGUGCCCUCAUGAUCGCAGCUUACAGUCAGCUGAGGGCCGCUUCUUUAUUAACAAGGGCCCCUGCAGCGACAUAUAGCCGGGGAGAAACUGUGAAAACUGGAGCAGUGGAAAAAUAAUUUCCUUGCUAAAAAGUCAC